GCCGGCGGCGGGCUAGGGUUGGCGCCGCCCGAGUCGCCCCUGCGGGAGUGACGCAGGGGCCGAGGGAACUCUUAAUACUCCACUCUUGCCCACUGAUUCGCUCCCCCAAAAUGUAGGCAUGCUCGUCCUUUUUCUAUUUGUUCCUAGUCCGCUAUACGUGAUGUGAGCUUAUGAAAUAAAUUGUUGAUGCAUGAACAUUUUGUGUAUGAUAUCAUCUGGACAUUGCUUUUUUGUCUCUUAUUAAAUAAUAAGAUUACUAUCUCUCUUGCUAAAAAAUUGUAUUCUAUACAAGUUUUAUACACAGAAUAUUUAUAAACCAUGAGUUAUUCCGCAAUAGCUCGCUUCGCUCAUUUCAGCAUGUUAUCUCUAAGCACCAGCAGACAUCAAGUUGGAUCCUCCUCUUGUCUCUAGAAACCUUUUUGAUCCUGUGAUACUUGUUGUUCUGUCCUAGGAUGGUCAUUCUUGUUGAGUGAUAAUCAGGGCAGCUCCAGUGUAUAAAUAUAUUGAUUUGGUGAUAAGAUAUAACGGGUGGGUUAUAUGAUCGAGGAAAGGCGAAUCUAAGCCCACUAUGGAAUGAACUCUGAACCCUUUUAUUUGUAUAUAAAGGCGUUGCUUAUUUAUGUUCCAGUGUUUACAGUUGUGUUAUGUGGUUUACAUGAGGAUGCCCUGGUCCUAUAGCUAUGCUCCCGGAUUUGCUAGAUUGAUCAGUGGUGUUCAUGCUAGGGCGAUGAUGAUUAACCGUGGCUGAAAUAUGUGUGCCUUUGAGCAAUCCAGGCACCUGUGAGUAUCAAGUUGGAUCCUCCCUCUUGUCUCUAGAAUCCUUUUUGAUUCUGUGAUAGUUGUUGUUCUGUCCUUGGAUGGUCAUUCUUGUUAAGUGAUAACCAGGACAUCUCUACUGUAUAAACAAAUUGAUCUAGUGAUAAGAGAUGACAAGGGUAGGUUAUAAAAUCGAGGAAAUGCGGAUCUAAGCCCACUAUGCAAUGAACCCUAGACCCUUUUUAUUUGUAUUUAAGGGUGUUGCUUAUUUAUGCUCCGGUGUUUAUAGCCAUCUUAUGUAAAUAUUUCUUCUCUCUCGUACCUUUAUUGCAUAUGAGUUGUCAAUGUUCAAGAAAUCGUUAACUGGUAGCUGCUCGGUUGGUUUAUUAGUAGCGAUUAAUUGGUGAAUUAGCCUAUUAACUGGAUUAAUCGGUCGACCAUUAAUCAGAAGAUUGAAUAUGAACUUGCCAACAUAUAUCUAGAUUUUUUUAUGUAUUAUACCAUACUCUCGUGCUCCCAGCUAUGUAGUAUACCAAACACAUGCUGCCAUACACAUAUGAAAAGCAUAGAGAGAAGGUAAAAUUAUUAUUCCUAGCUAUUAAGGAGCGGCAUGGGGCUGGAAGGGGUUACGGGCCAAAAAUUUGGGCUUUGUUUGCCCACCCAUUAAUGGGCCAUCAGGGAUUAAUCUGCAUGACAAUUGAUUAAUUGGUCUAACUUGCCAACUAAUCGGCCUGACAAGUUAACACAAUAAAUAUGUGUUAUUCGAUUCUGUCAUGCUACGAGUAGCGAUUAACUAGCCCAUUAACAGAUUAAUCGGGUGAAUUUUUGAACAGUGUGAGUUGUUCUUGAUCUUUUAUUUUUUUUGUUGGUCCUUGAUUUAAUUUGGGUAAGAGCGAGCUGCACUGUGUUAUACUAGUAAAACUCGCUUCCAUCAAGUUAUCGGUUGAAUGUCUUGUUUUAACUAGCUUAGCCCACGCGGCGACGCCGUGCUCGUCGAUAAGUCACGACAAUCUAGUAGCUAACAUAAUUUACAAUUUCUAACCCCCCUGUAUAACUGGUUGGAUUAGUUAUUAUCUGCUCUACCAUGACCAAAUAUUGUUUUUGAGCCAUCAUGGCUAGCUUUAUUAAGAUCAAAUAAUCGUUACAUCGUCCAUUAGUUUAGCUAUGAUGCAACCCGGGGGCUCCUCAGACUAGCUACUCGAAAUCUUAUUACAAAAGCAAUACUGAGCUAGCUCAUAAGCCGCUUGAUUAGCGGACUAGAAACAAUGUUUAACCUUCCCAAUCCAAAACAAUAAGGUGUGCAUCAAGAGCGCUUUCUCAUGAGAGCCACGUCCCUAUUUUUUACUGUGACGGAGAAAGAAAACGAAUGGGAGCAGAAAAUGCGUCCCGGGAUAACCCCCUCCGCCAGUUAAAAGUCCUUCCCUGCCUUCCCCACAAAGGCACCCUUCCGCUCGUCCUCCUCCUCGCCGCCGCUGACGCCACCACCACCUCUCCUUUCUAUUCUCCUGCCACCGCCACCUCAUCUUUCUUCCUCGCCUCUUUCCACACCCCUCAUCUGCCAUUCAUUCUCUGCAGCCGGGUCUCCUCCUCUCUCCCGCGCGCCGGCGGGGAUGGAGGGACAACGGCAGGGCGACCGGAUGGGACGACGGCGGCUUAGUACAUGUUGCAGUUGCCGCCGGCAUCAUAGGGGCUCGUUCUCGGGUAGUAAAUCGUGUAAUGUCAUGGCAUAAAUCACAGAGACGUUCCUCUGUUCUUCCUGCCCUUCGAGUCCGCACUAGAAGCAGGGGUCCUCAUCGAUCGAUCUUGUAAGCAUCUGCCUUGCAGAAUCAGAAUCUUGUUACAUAUAUAUUCGUGUUCUUUCCUGGAAUUUUUGUGGUGACUGAAUAAUAUAUGCAGUGAGGACGGAAUUAGUCUCGGUUCUGUCAGGCAUUAGUCAUGGUGUUGUUGGGGUUCGUCGUCAGCUUCUCUUUCCCGGCAUCGAUGACGCCCAAUGUAUGAUAAGAAACAUCAAAAGGUUUUCAUAUUGGUAUAUUUUCUUCAAAUUAACUUGGCAUCAUGAUAAUUAGAUUGGUCAUGUAUGUAUGCAGCUUCAGUGUGGCGUACAGCCUUGGAGUAGCAGCGGACAGCGGGGCUGCAAACGCCAGCUCCAAUGGCAUUGACAACAGCUUCCUGGGCAGUUUGUGGGCACCGUUAUUCAGGAACAACAGUAGCACCUUAAAUGCCACUUCAGGGAUGCCUUAGCUUCUCCUCACCAUCGUGACCACCCCUCCUCCUCGCACCAGAUUGAGCAGCAGGCUGGGCAGAGCAGAGCGGAGCGAACGGGCCGUGCCAGAAGCAGCAUAACACGGUUGCGGGCGGAGAGGGCGAGGCUGAGUCGCUGGACUACGGCCUCGUGGAGGAGGAAAUCCAGGGCUCGGGUUUCAUCUACAUGGUCGACUGCUCAGGUGCUGUGCCGCGGGUCAGUGCUUAGAUGCUCUUCAACGCCUUCGUCUUUAUUGUCUCCUACACCUUUGGCUACACGCUCGGCCAACAUGACGGCCCAUGCAGCAAGUUCGAGGCCGACCGCAGACAUUGACGGCAUCCUUCGACAUCUGAUUCGACCACUGCUCCCUCGUCGACUAUGACGACGGGCUCAUCGACAUCACAGUCUCCAGUUCUUGAUCACAAAACUUGUGAGGAAAGACCAUGGUAAAUGAAGAGACAACAUUACACUGGAUUUUAUCUUUGUGAGGUCUGUAGCAAUAUGGUCAUUGAUGCAACAAACAAGGGAACAAGUCCAGGUUUAUCAAUCAUAGUUGUGAACCAAACACAGAGAUGCAGAAAUGGUUAGUUCUAUUGUACUUCUUAUUUUAUAUCCAUGCUGAUGACCAUGAUAUUUGCUACUGGUCUCAUGUUAUUUCGGGACUGUAGAUGGAGAGACCAGAGUUGGAAUGUUUGCUCUUCUUGAUAUGGAGAGAGGGGAGAAGCUGACAGAUAAUCAAUUCAGAAACGCAGCAAAUGCUAGUUAACAUCCAAAAGAGGAAAAUAGAGGGGGAAAACAGGCCACAUCUUUAAAAAGGUGCACAACAAAACCAUUUAUCAUGCGCAGAAACUAAACACUACAUCAGCUAGAUUUCAAGUCUUGCAUGCACAAAAGUAAUUAACAAGCUAACCAUCUAUGUAAACUAGAAUGCCAUCAGCCACAAAAUUCAAAGGAGGUAAAUGCAGCUCCCUCCACAUUUUCACAUCCGGGCUUGGGACCGGCAAAGGCAGUGUUAAACCACACCAAUCAUCAUUCAAGCAUACAGGCCACACCAUCAAGCAAAUGCAACAUUCACACACACAGAGAGUCAAGCACACACAGAGUCACACAAACAGAGAGUCA